rnacentral:rRNA from 1 species
ACUCCUGCGGGAGGCAGCAGUGUGGAAUAUUGCACAAUGGGCGCAAGCCUGAUGCAGCCAUGCCGCGUGUAUGAAGAAGGCCUUCGGGUUGUAAAGUACUUUCAGCGGGGAGGAAGGCGAUAAGGUUAAUAACCUUGUUGAUUGACGUUACCCGCAGAAGAAGCACCGGCUAACUCCGUGCCAGCAGCCGCGGUAAUACGGAGGGUGCAAGCGUUAAUCGGAAUUACUGGGCGUAAAGCGCACGCAGGCGGUCUGUCAAGUCGGAUGUGAAAUCCCCGGGCUCAACCUGGGAACUGCAUUCGAAACUGGCAGGCUAGAGUCUUGUAGAGGGGGGUAGAAUUCCAGGUGUAGCGGUGAAAUGCGUAGAGAUCUGGAGGAAUACCGGUGGCGAAGGCGGCCCCCUGGACAAAGACUGACGCUCAGGUGCGAAAGCGUGGGGAGCAAACAGGAUUAGAAACCCUGGUAGUCCCAUG